GACGAACGCUGGCGGCGUGCUUAACACAUGCAAGUCGAACGGAAACGCCCUGCUUUUGUGGGGUGCUGGAGUGGCGAACGGGUGAGUAACAAGUGAGUAACCUCCCCCUCUCUUUGGGGUAACUUCAGGAGAAUGGGGGUACUACCGGAUAGGAGCUCCUGCUGAAUGGUGGGCGUUGGAUAGAAUGGGCGGUUGGGUAUGGACUCGGGGCUUCUGAUCUUGUUGGUGGGGUGGGGGCUUACCAAGGCAUUGCCGGGUAGCGGGCCUGAGAGGGGGACCGGCCACAUGGGGACUGAGAUACGGCCCGGACGCCUAGGGGAGGCAGGAGUAGGGAAUAUAGCACAAUGGGCGGAAGCCUGAUGCAGCAACGCCGCCUGCGGGGUGGCAGCCUUCGUGUUGUAAGCCACAAUGGCCUGUGAGGAAGCGUGAUUGACGGUAAUGGGUGAAGAAGCACCGGCUAACUACGUG
rnacentral:rRNA from 1 species